UCUGGGCCCUGUUCUGCCAGGUGCUGCAGAGACCCCAACAGAGGUCAGACCCCACUGUUGUGACAGGUGCUGUGGAGACCCCAAGUGAGAUCUGCGCCUCUGUUGUGCUGGGCACUGCAGAGACCCCACAGACAUCAGGCCCCCCAUUGUGCCAGGCUACAGAAUAACGUCCACGUUUUGCUCCAGAUCAUCCCAUCCUCCCAGGGGGAAGGCAAUGGCUGCAAUGGAGCUGGCUCAGGCCUUCCAUUCUCCUGUUCAAGAGACAUCACCCAGGGCUCCCUCUGCCUGUGUGACUGGCCAGCAGGGGGCGGUGAUAACUUCCUAUCCACCUCUCAGGCACUGUGAGGCUGCGGAAUAAUGUCCAUGUUUCGCUCCAGUUCAUCCCGUCCUCUCGUUGGACAGGGGAGAGAAAUGGCUGCAGAGGAGCCAGUUCAGGGGCCGGUGACCUUCGAGGAGGUGGCUGUGUAUUUCACCAG